UACGGAAGGGAUGCAAACGUUGCUCGGAAUCGAUUGGGCGUAAAGCGCACGUAGGCGGCCCGAUAAGUCGGAUGUGAAAUCCCUCGGCUCAACCGAGGACGUGCAUUCGAAACUGUCGGGCUCGAGUAUGGAAGAGGGUCGCGGAAUUCCCGGUGUAGAGGUGAAAUUCGUAGAUAUCGGGAGGAACACCAGUGGCGAAGGCGGCGACCUGGGCCAAUACUGACGCUGAGGUGCGAAAGCGUGGGGAGCAAACAGG
rnacentral:rRNA from 1 species